GAUGAACGCUGGCGGCGUGCCUAAUACAUGCAAGUCGAGCGAACAGACGAUGAGCUUGCGCCGCGCACGUGAGCCGCGCACGUGUGAGUAACACGUGUAUAACGUACCUAUAAUACUGAUAUAACUUCGGGAAACCGGAGCUAAUACCGGAGAAGAUAUUGAACCGCAGUGGUCAAUGGAGAAAUUCGGCGGUGGGGGCACGUAUAGAGGGAUACGCGCCGCAUUGGGUAGUUGGGAAGGUAACGGCUUACCAAGGCAACGAGGCGUAGCCGACCUGAGAGGGUGAUAGGCCACACUAGAAGUGGGACACGGUCCAGACUCCUACGGGAGGCAGCAGUAGGGAAUCUUACGCAAUGGGCGAAAGCCUGACGGAGCAACGCCGCGUGAGUGAUGAAGGUCUUCGGAUCGUAAAACUCUGUUAUUAGGGAAGAACAAAUGUGUAAGUAACUAUGCACGUCUUGACGGUAACUAAUCAGAAAGCAACGGCUAACUACGUG
rnacentral:rRNA from 1 species